UUCUAGUUUUGUAACUAAAAUGGUUUGGCAGUGAGCGAUUCUUAUUAGGGGAAUAUGCAUAGUGAAGGAUGGUCCACCUAUUAGUUUACUCUUUUUAUGUUGGUGUAUGUCUGGUUUGAUAUUAUUGUUGAAUAAUUUAAGUUUGUGUAGUUUUAGUUAAGCUAAGUCUAUGUGCUGCUUAU
rnacentral:rRNA from 1 species